AGCGGUUCCAGUUUCUUCAUCCAUUGCGUCCAGUGCUUGGGAGAGAUUAGUAUGUUCAGCUGAGAUCGAGUCUGGGUGGCUGCUGUAUCCGAGCUGGGCUUGAGCUUUGGCUUGGGCUGGUUUUUUUUGGCUGCAAAACUGUCUGAUGGCACAACUGCAACAUAAAGGUUAAAUAUGGCACAGGAAAAAAAAAAAAAAAAAAGAAACAGAGCGGGGAGAAGGAAGGAUUAGAGAAAAGAAACUAAUAUAAAUCAGUUGAGGUUCUUUUUAGUGAAGAGGUCUUUGAUCUCUGCUGGGUCUUACAGAUCUUUCUUUUAAAGAGAGAGAGAGAAAAGAAGAGAGGAGGGGGGAGAGAAGGGAAAAGCGGGGAGAGAUCUUUGGCAGGUGCAGAGUGAAAACCUCUUUCAGCUACACUGAAUUCUGGAGACUGGUUGGACUAGUAGCUCUGCAGCUCCAGCUUUCAGUGGGUGUGUUAAAUAUUAUGAGCGAGCCAUGAUUCCUGCCUUCCUCACGUCAUAGUUAGGAGAUUGGCUAAAUAAACGCUACAGUGAUAGUAACAGGAAAACCUCAACCAAAAGAGGGGUUUUUUUCCCUCCUCUCCUCCCUCCUUCCCACCCCCCCUUUUCAUUCUACUGCAGCUCCAACUGGGGCAAGGAGAGGGCGUCUGUUCCACAAAGGUUUGGGAAAAAAAAUAAAAUGAAACGAAAUAAAAUGUAAAGCGGUAGAGGAGAGAGGAUCCUGCGCUGCCAGCGCUGCGAGGCGGCAGCAGCAGCGCCGUGCGCCGGGCCGGGCCGGGAUGGGCGGCCCUGCUCCGCCGCCGCCGCGCUCAUCGCCCUCGCCCCCGGCCCCGCGGGGUCAGCCCGGGCUCCGCUGGCCGGGGAUCAGCCUCCGGGUCUGAUCCGGGAUCCCUCACCGGGAUCCAGCUGCCCUCCCUCCCCUUCCCCCCUCUCCGCUGCUGGCUCUGUGCCUGCUGGCCCAGCGGGCUAGUGGCAGGGCCCGGGGCCCCCCCCCCCCCCCCCCCCCCCCCCCCCCCCCCCCCCCCCCCCCCCCCCCCCCCCCCCCCCCCCCCCCCCCCCCCCCCAGCCCCGGGAGCACUGAGGCAGCCGUUUGACAGCCAGGGCACCCUGCAGGAACGAGCUGCCCCUGGCGCUUCAGGUGGUCAGGCAGGGAAUGCCCAGAACCGGCAGAACGAGGCAGGAACUCGGGGAAGGAGGCUGAUGUCACCUGGCUGUUUGUUUCUGCAAGCAGAGAGCGCAUCUUCAACUGGAUCCUGGAAGCACAGAGCUUUAUGAGGGACAAAACCAACAUCUAAAUGUUCAUUUCAGCCAGUAAACAGAUCCAGAAGUCUCAGAUUUCACCUCUGGCUUAAGCUACAGGAGGAGCAGUACUAGAGUAAAUAGGACUGAAGUUCCACCUGUAUUCUGUUGAACUAUUUGAUACGUGAUGUUUGAAUAAUUCGCUGUGCAAUAAAAGCUUGAAAGGUUGAUUUUUCACAACAAACACCUCCACCAGUGACACUACCCCCACAGACAGAUCUGCUUGGCAGGAGGGCAGUAGCUUUAGUCCAAGUUUUUAAUGACUGUGCUCAAAACUCACAAAAGCCAGGGGCUCUGAAAAGCAGCUGCCAGUGGAGAGCGACCCCAUAAAGAGUGUGAGGAAAGGAGAGGGUCCAUGGGAUUCAAGUGCUUCUGUAGGAGGUGAUUAUCACUCACUUUGGACAUGGCAGGGCGAGGCAGUGUGACUCUUUGCUGCCAGCCCUGGGCACUGGUUGCUGUUUUAUCCAACGUGGCUCUUUAUUUGGGGUUUAUGUUCUUCCUCUGCUUCCAGGUGUCAAAGCGGAAGCUCUCCUUUGUUUGCUUUUUAACAACGUUCUGGGGGCCCCCCCCCCCCCCCCCCCCCCCCCCCCCCCCCCCCCCCCCCCCCCCCCCCCCCCCCCCCCCCCCCCCCCCCCCCCCCCCCCCCCCCCCCCCCCCCCCCCCCCCCCCCCCCCCCC
rnacentral:lncRNA from 1 species